CAUAGUGAGAUCUCUUUAAUAGGGAGUAGACACAGGCCUGAAUGGAGAGGGAAAUGUCUCAAAUAUCAAACACGUCGUGGGCAAUGGCUUAUGGUGGUUAAGAACUAGUGCUUCGUUGGAAUGGAGCCACCACUCAUCCUUCAGGACUCCCUGGACACCACUAGGGCAGGACCCCGGCACUUGCCAGAUAUCAUUGCUCCAAUGCACACAGACCAAGGAACAGAUCAGGAUGUCACUGCCUCCUUUAAUCCCAUGGAACAAUGGAGAAGACUGACAAAGAAGCUGAUCUCUUCCCUGAUACUAGCCAUCUUCAACUUCAGAUCUUCCCAUCCU